GUGCGGACAGCAUCCGAGGCUGCUGUACUCAAGAAGAUGUGGCAUCCAGCUAUCACAGAAAUGAAGGAAAGGGGACACAGAGCUCCUGCCUCUUCUUGCUUCAUCGCGAGAGGGCAAAAAAUGGAGACAGCGAGAGAGGGUUGGAAAGAUGUUGGCCAAAGGUCGCAACACUCGAGUCAGAAGAAAUGAGUUCAAGAGAUCCACUGUGCGACGUCCUCCGGUGUGCUGGGAUUUCCAGCGUGCGCCACUACGCCCGGCGAUGAAGAAACCAUUUCAAGACAGAAGCCAUUGUUAAAUCAAGAGGAAGCACGGGUGCAUAGUCUCAGUUGGAAGUGACAGAAAUCGAACUCCAGUCCACUUAAGCCGAAGAGGAAUGUAUCAGCUCUUGAAACUGGGAAGUCUAGAAACGUGGAUGGCGUCAUCAGAACGGCUUGACCCAGGGGCUCAAAUGUUAUUGUCAGCUUUCCCCUUUUGCCUCCCUCUUAAAACAUUAAAAGUAAACGA